CGCGUGUACUGGUCCGGCCGGGCCUUUCCCUCUGUGGAACCCCAUGCCCUUCACUGGGUGUGGCGGGGAAACAGGACUUUUACUGUGAAAAAAUUAGAGUGCUCCAGGCAGGCCUAUGCUCGAAUACAUUAGCAUGGAAUAAUAGAAUAGGACGUGUGGUUCUAUUUUGUUGGUUUCUAGGACCGCCGUAAUGAUUAAUAGGGACAGUCGGGGGCAUCAGUAUUCAAUUGUCAGAGGUGAAAUUCUUGGAUUUAUUGAAGACUAACUACUGCGAAAGCAUUUGCCAAGGAUGUUUUCAUUGAUAAGGAACGAAAGUUAGGGGAUCGAAGACGAUCAGAUACUGUCGUAGUCUUAACUAUAAACUAUGCCGACUAGGGAUCGGACGAUGUUAUUUCUUGACGCGUUCGGCACCUUUCGAGAAAUCAAAGUGCUUGGGCUCCAGGGGGAGUAUGGUCGCAAGGCUGAAACUUAAAGAAAUUGGCGGAAGGGCACCACCAGGGGUGGAACCUGCGGCUUAAUUUGACUCAACACGGGGAAACUCACCAGGUCCAGACACAGUGAGGAUUGACAGAUUGAGAGCUCUUUCUUGAUUCUGUGGGUGGUGGUGCAUGCCCGUUCUUAGUUGGUGGAGUGAUUUGUCUGCUUAAUUGCGAUAACGAACGAGACCUUAACCUGCUAAAUAGCCCGUACUGCUCUGGCAGUUCGCCGGCUUCUUAGAGGGACUAUCGG
rnacentral:rRNA from 1 species